rnacentral:rRNA from 1 species
AACGAACGCUGGCGGCAGGCCUAACACAUGCAAGUCGAACGUGAAGCCAGAGCUUGCUCUGGUGGAAAGUGGCAGACGGGUGAGUAACGCGUGGGAAUUUGCCCAGUGGUACGGAAUAACUCAGGGAAACUUGUGCUAAUGCCGUAUACGCCCUUCGGGGGAAAGAUUUAUCGCCAUUGGAUAAGCCCGCGUCGGAUUAGCUUGUUGGUGAGGUAAAAGCUCACCAAGGCGACGAUCCGUAGCUGGUCUGAGAGGAUGAUCAGCCACACUGGGACUGAGACACGGCCCAGACUCCUACGGGAGGCAGCAGUGGGGAAUAUUGCACAAUGGGCGCAAGCCUGAUGCAGCCAUGCCGCGUGAGUGAAGAAGGCCUUAGGGUUGUAAAACUCUUUCACCGGUGAAGAUAAUGACGGUAGCCGGAGAAGAAGCCCCGGCCAACUCCGUG